UGGGGGAUAUUGGACAAUGGGGGAAACCCUGAUCCAGCGAUGCCGCGUGAGGGAAGAAGGUUUUCGGAUUGUAAACCUCUGUGGAGGGGGACGAUAAUGACGGUACCCCUUUAGGAAGCCACGGCUAACUACGUGCCAGCAGCCGCGGUAAUACGUAGGUGGCGAGCGUUGUCCGGAAUUACUGGGUGUAAAGGGAGUGUAGGCGGGAAAGCAAGUCAGAAGUGAAAACUAUGGGCUUAACCCAUAGCCUGCUUUUGAAACUGUUUUUCUUGAGUGAAGUAGAGGCAAGCGGAAUUCCUAGUGUAGCGGUGAAAUGCGUAGAUAUUAGGAGGAACACCAGUGGCGAAGGCGGCUUGCUGGGCUUUUACUGACGCUGAGGCUCGAAAGCGUGGGGAGCAAACAGG
rnacentral:rRNA from 1 species